GAAUCCUCCAAUAAACGACACAGUAACAAUCAUACAAUAUGAAAACCCUACAUCUGAUGUGUUUGUUAGUGACGGCCGUAGUGCUUCUAGCGAGUGCUCCGGUAGCGAACGCCCAAAACUAUGAUUACGGAUAUGGCGGAAAACACUACGGCUACCCCGGAAACUCUGGAUACGGGGGAAACUAUGGCUAUCACGGUAAACACCACGGAAGGGGUGGCAAAGGCAAAUAUGGCUAUGGCAGAUAAUUAUUGCGGUACAACUGUACUUAAAGAAAAACGCAACUAACAAGACCAUACUUAUACACAUGUACAACGACCGUUUCCUUGUAAUUUACAUUCAAAUAAAGUUGUGCACAGCAAUACAUAAAUGAAAAUCGCAAA